GUGCUCACUUGGGUAGCACAUAUACUAAAAUUGGAAUGAUGCAGAGAAGAUUAGCAUGGACCCUGCACAAGGAUAGCAUGCAAAGUCGUGAAGCAUUCCAUAUUUUU
rnacentral:snRNA from 1 species